UGGUAGUUUCUUUAGAAAACACACUUUAAUCAAUAGUUAUAGGCUAUUGUGUUGCAACCAGGGAUGCUGCAAUACCACUAAUUUUAGAGAUAGUUCUGACGGCAUUCAAAUUUGUCUAUAACAAAGCCGAUAACAGUGUUGCCAACUAUUUUCAGUGGGAAGUAGCUAAAGCCUGCAGGAAAAGUCCUGGAUCUCAAUAGAUAACGUCAUGUGCUAAUUUGCAUAUAUAUGAUGGCAUGACUUUAUUACCCUUUAUUACUUUCUCUUCGGUACAGAAAAAAAGAAUUACGGCAACUUCCAGUCUCACUUCAGAUGAUGAUGAAACACAGAUUGACCCAUCACGAGUUCUUCAAACAAAUAAGCCGAAGAUGACAAAGGCUGCAAAAGACCGAGCCCUUGCCCAACUGAAAUCCUCGCUGCUGAGAAGAAAGCAAACAACCUCCACCCCCUUGACAAAUGAAGACGAUACAGACAUAGACACCAAUGUGGACUUAUUUGACCCACCUCAGGCUUCGGGAUCAAGUGACCUCUCCCAAGGGGAAAGUGAAGAGGAGAGUGUCCUGAUGGAUCAGCCCAGAUCCAGUGUUGGCAUGCAACAGGAAGUGAUGGAUGCUCUGAAAGAAAUACCAGCCUUAGUCAAGUGUGUCAAAGAUCUUAUUGCAACCAUGAAGAGAAUGCCACCUGUCAUGGACACUGACAGUACAUGUUCUGGCUCUUCCAGUCCAGCUCCAGAAAUGAUUUCCCUUGGCAACAAGGGGGUGCAGGUCAGCAAAACCUGUUUCAAAAGACUCAACCGAACAAGAAUGUCCCUGUUCACACAGGACUUAGCUGUGCUCCUCUUUGGGCGGGAUGUUUUGGCAUCCUCGACUCUCACAGGAAAACCAGGGCUUACUGGAACAGUGAAAGAGCAGCUAAAUCCGGAAAAGCUGAGUGCCCUUGUUGAUACAGUUAUUGCUGAAUUUCCAGGAACAAAUGUGUCUGAUGUGAGGGCAGUGAUUCAGAGAAAAUGUAACAAUGAGAAUUUUGUGAGCAAAAAGAAACAGUAAGCAGUAAAUCAGUAACUGUUUGUAAUAAUUUCUUGUUUGUUUUUUCUUUGGUGGACAUACAUUUUGAGUUUAAACAAACUGUGUAAAAGUUUAAACAAUCUGUCCACCUAUGUAAAAGUUUCAACAGUCAGUUUAAUGUUUAUUAAUGUUUUCAAAAGUCAGUUUCAGUUUAAUGUUCAUCCCUGUCAUUACUAGAAAUGGUACGAUGAAGAGAAACAGUUUGAAAAUGUUGUUAAAGAUGUAUUUUGUAUCCUGUCAUGCCGUGCAUGUUAAAAAUAAACGUUAUUUCUACCUCAAGUAUGUUCUAAAU
rnacentral:lncRNA from 1 species